rnacentral:rRNA from 1 species
AGGUCAAGCUACAAAGGGCGCAUGGUGAAUGCCUUGGCAUCAGGAGCCGAUGAAGGACGUGAUAAGCUGCGAUAAGCUUCGGGUAGGCGCACAUAGCCUGAGAUCCGAAGAUUUCCGAAUGAGGAAACUCACAUGGGAAACCCCAUGUAUCAUUAAGUGAAUACAUAGCUUAAUGAAGGUAACCCAGGGAACUGAAACAUCUAAGUACCUGGAGGAAGAGAAAGAAAAAUCGAUUUUCUUAGUAGCGGCGAGCGAAAGGGAAAGAGCCCAAACCGGAAACUUGUUUCCGGGGUUGUGGACAUAGCAUGAAAGUGGAGGCUAUUGUAACUGAAGAGAACUGGAAAGUUCCACCGUAGAAGGUAAUAGUCCUGUAAGUGAAACGAGAAGACCACGAGUUAUGAUCCAGAGUACCACGAGACACGUGAAACCUUGUGGGAAGCAGGGAGGACCACCUCCCAAGGCUAAAUACUACCUGAUGACCGAUAGUGAAGCAGUACCGUGAGGGAAAGGUGAAAAGAACCCCGGGAGGGGAGUGAAAUAGAACCUGAAACCGUGUGCCUACAACCGCUCAGAGCCCCUUAUGAGGGUGAUGAGGUGCUUUUUGUAG